UCAAAACAGCCUUUAAAGUAUUUCUACAAAUUCAAUAUGUGAAACAUCUCUUUAACCGCGAUCCUUACAUUCUAACCUUUAAAAGAUUUAGCCAGACAUGGUAAUUCCAACAAACACAAUGAUAUUGAUCAUGAUGAAAAGUUGUUUUAGAAUGGGAGGCGUAAGGGACGAGUAGAGCGUGUAAAAAUAAAGUGUGGACAGAAA
rnacentral:lncRNA from 1 species